rnacentral:rRNA from 1 species
AGUGAACGCUGGCGGUAGGCCUAACACAUGCAAGUCGAACGGCAGCACAGUAAGAGCUUGCUCUUACGGGUGGCGAGUGGCGGACGGGUGAGGAAUACAUCGGAAUCUACUUUUUCGUGGGGGAUAACGUAGGGAAACUUACGCUAAUACCGCAUACGACCUACGGGUGAAAGCAGGGGAUCUUCGGACCUUGCGCGAUUGAAUGAGCCGAUGUCGGAUUAGCUAGUUGGCGGGGUAAAGGCCCACCAAGGCGACGAUCCGUAGCUGGUCUGAGAGGAUGAUCAGCCACACUGGAACUGAGACACGGUCCAGACUCCUACGGGAGGCAGCAGUGGGGAAUAUUGGACAAUGGGCGCAAGCCUGAUCCAGCCAUACCGCGUGGGUGAAGAAGGCCUUCGGGUUGUAAAGCCCUUUUGUUUGGGAAAGAAAAGCAGCAGGUUAAUACCCCGCUGUUCUGACGGUACCCAAAGAAUAAGCACCGGCUAACUUCGUG